UACGUAGGGGGCAAGCGUUGUCCGGAUUUAUUGGGCGUAAAGAGCGUGUAGGCGGCCAGGUAGGUCUGCUGUGAAAACUCGAGGCUUAACCUCGAGAUGUCGGCGGAAACCAUCUGGCUAGAGUCCGGAAGAGGAGAAUGGAAUUCCCGGUGUAGCGGUGAAAUGCGCAGAUAUCGGGAAGAACACCCGUGGCGAAGGCGGCUCUCUAGUACGGUACUGACGCUGAGACGCGAAAGCGUGGGGAGCGAACAGG
rnacentral:rRNA from 1 species